rnacentral:lncRNA from 1 species
CGCUCUGUAUUUCUCGCCAGCAAGAAAUCAUACGCAGGACACUCGGAUCCUUCUGCAGGAAAGCUUUAAUGCGUCUUGAGAGGAGAGCAUAAGCUUACCAGAGCGGAGACCCUGAGCCAAGAAUCCCGUCCCCUAAUAAAGGCUGGCAGCCGCCGCCUGGGACGUGUCACCCCAUGAUUGGCUGUAGCUCAUCCGGCCAUAUGACGCCACGGAAUAGGCAGAGAUCAAGGAAUGGAAAUUUACCCAGCGCCUGCGCAAUAAUCUUGUUUACAUUCGGUGCCUGCCGGAUGCAGGCGCCAUCUUGUAAUGGAGAAUGCAGGGACGGCUCCCUACAGAUCCCCCUUUUUUUAUUAAUUAAUGAUAAGGCUUUAUAUUUUUACAAGCAAAUAGCCUGAUGGUGACUCCCGUACACAGUCUUAAUGUUUGAUUUUGGGAAGGUACAACCUCUGCCUCUAUCCCUCAACAUAUGGGUGACCUAUUUGCUUGUAAAAAUAUAAAGCCUU